rnacentral:rRNA from 1 species
GACAGAGGGUGCAAACGUUGUUCGGAAUUACUGGGCGUAAAGCGCGUGUAGGCGGCAAGGCAAGUCGGAUGUGAAAGCCCGCGGCUCAACCGUGGAAGUGCACUCGAAACUGCCUAGCUAGAGUCUCGGAGAGGAAGGUGGAAUGCUUGGUGUAGAGGUGAAAUUCGUAGAUAUCAAGCAGAACACCUGUGGCGAAGGCGGCCUUCUGGACGGUGACUGACGCUGAGACGCGAAAGCGUGGGGAGCAAACAGG